UGUGAGUAGUGGCGAACGAAAAUGGAUAAGGGUUUAAAUUAAACAAUUAUUAAAAUUUAUAAAUUAACAUAGAUGGUUUAUAAUUCCAGUAUAAGUUUAAUUUUGUUUAAUUUUAGAGUAAAACGAAAUAGGUGUAAUUUUGUUUGAAGAUAAGGGAACCAUCCUUUAAGCCUAAAUAAAAUAAAUAAUCGAUAGUGAACAAGUACUGUGAAGGAAAGGUGAAAUAGAAUUUACGAAAUUGAAAUAGAACUUGAAAUCUAAUGCUUUUAGCAAUUGGAGCUUUAAUUGAAAAGUGACAAUGUACCUUUUGUAUAAUGGACCAGUAAGUUUAUUUAUAUAGCAAGUUUAAAUUGUUAAAUGGAAACGUAGUGAAAGCGAAUUUGAAAAGAAUUAUUUUUAGUUAUAUAAAUAAGACCCGAAACCAAGUGAUCUAAUUAUGAACAAGUUGAAAAAAUAUUAAAUUAUUUUUGAGGACUGAACCCGUGUCUGUUGCAUAAGAUUGGGAUGAUUUGUGAUUAGGGGUGAAAGGCUAAUCAAACUUGGAGAUAGCUGGUUUUCUGUGAAAUCUAUUUACGUAAAGUAUUAAAAUUAUUUUUUUGGGGUAGAGAUAUCGAUAAAAGAGGGUUGCCUAUAAAGCUUUACUAAUUUUAAGGAAACUUCGAAUACGAAAAAAUAUUUUAAUAAACGGACUUAUAAUGCUAAGGUUGUAAGUCGAGAGGGAAACAGCCCAGAUUGUUUAUUAAGGUCUUUAAAUUUUUUCUUAUAAAAAAUAAGAUAUUAAAUGAAUAUAACUAAGAGUUAGGUUCAGAAGCAGCCAUUCUUUAAAGAAAGCGUAAAAGCUCAUUAGUUUAAUUUAGUAUUUUUUACGAUGUAUAGAGAUUUAAAAGAAAAAUACCGAAAUAGCAAAUUAAAUUUUAUUUUAAAAAUUUAAUAGUAACAGAACGUUCUGUAUGCAAAAAGAUAAAUUGAAAAAUUUAUUAAUGUAUCAGAAGUGAUAAUACUGGUAUGAGUAAUAUAAAUAAUAUUAAAUAGGUAAUUAAAUAUUAUCGUCGAAAAUUUAAGGUUUUUAAUUUAUAAUUGUUAAACAAAAUUAAGUAAUACGGUUUCUAAAAAUUUAAGUGAAAACUUAGUUUGAUGAAUAUUAUAUUCAGAAACUUUUAAAUUUAUAGUUAAUACAAAAUUAUAUUUAAAAUUCAAAAUAUCUGGAUUAGAAAACCGUACUUAAAACCAACAAUGGUAAAUGGGUAGAGUAUACUAAGACGAAAAAGUGAAUCAUAGUGAAGGAACUCGGCAAAUUAACCUUGUAACUUCGGAAUAAAAGGUUUUUAUUAAGUGUAUUUUAAUUAAUAAAAAAAUAGAAAAGGGGGUAGCGACUGUUUAAUAAAAACACAGGACUUUGCAAAAUUGUAAAAUGAUGUAUAAGGUCUGACACCUGCCAGGAACUGUGUAGUUAAAAUUGGAGAGAAUUUAUUUUCAAUCUAAGCAGCAGUAAUCGGCGGCCAUAACUCUGAUGGUCCUAAGGUAGCGAAAUUCCUUGUCAACUAAUUAUUGACGUGCAUGAAUGGUGUAACGACUUCCCCACUGUCUCCACUAUGAGCUUUGUGAAAUUGAAAUAUUUGUGAAGAUGCGAAUUAUAUAUGGUUAGACGGAGAGACCCCGUGCACCUUUACUACAUUUUUUAAUUGAUUAUUUUUAUAAAAGUGUGUAGCAUAAGUGGGAGUUUAAAUUCAGUUUUAAAUAAUAAUGAAAUACCACUCGUUUUAUAAUUAAUAGCUAAUUUAUUAAAAAAUAAUAAAGACAUAUUAAAGAUUGGUAGUUUAACUGGGGUGGUUUUCUCCAAAAAAGUAACGGAGAAAUAUAAAGGUAAAUUAAUAGUUAUUGUUGUGAUAAUUAUUUAUGUGUAAUGGCUUAAAUUUGCUUGACUGUAAGAUUGACAAAUCAAACAGAAACGAAAGUUGAUCAUAGUGACCCGGUAAUUCUUUAUGGAAAGGUUAUCGAUCAAUGGAUAAAAGGUACGCCGGGGAUAACAGGCUUAUAAUUCUCUAGAGUUCAUAUCGACGGAAUUGUUUGGCACCUCGAUGUCGGCUCAUCACAUCC
rnacentral:rRNA from 1 species